rnacentral:rRNA from 1 species
UACAGAGGGUGCGAGCGUUAAUCGGAAUUACUGGGCGUAAAGCGUGCGCAGGCGGUUGUGCAAGACCGAUGUGAAAUCCCCGGGCUUAACCUGGGAACUGCAUUGGUGACUGCAUUGCUGGAGUAUGGCAGAGGGGGGGUGGAAUUCCACGUGUAGCAGUGAAAUGCGUAGAGAUGUGGAGGAACACCGAUGGCGAAGGCAGCCCCCUGGGCCAAUACUGACGCUCAUGCACGAAAGCGUGGGGAGCAAACAGG